UACGUAGGGGGCAAGCGUUGUCCGGAAUCAUUGGGCGUAAAGAGCGUGUAGGCGGUUCGGUAAGUCCGCUGUGAAAGUCCAGGGCUCAACCCUGGGAUGCCGGUGGAUACUGUCGGGCUCGAGUCCGGAAGAGGAGUGUGGAAUUCCGUGGUGUAGCGGUGAAAUGCGCAGAUAAUCAGGAGGAACACCAAUGGCGAAGGCAGCACUCUGGGACGUGACUGACGCUGAGACGCGAAAGCGUGGGGAGCAAACAGG
rnacentral:rRNA from 1 species